rnacentral:rRNA from 1 species
GACGAACGCUGGCGGCGUGCUUAACACAUGCAAGUCGAACGGAAAGGCCCUGCUUUUGUGGGGUGCUCGCGUGGCGAACGGGUGAGUAACACGUGAGUAACCUGCCCUUGACUUUGGGAUAACUUCAGGAAACUGGGGCUAAUACCGGAUAGGAGCUCCUGCUGCAUGGUGGGGGUUGGACAGUUUCGGCGGUUGGGGAUGGACUCGCGGCUUAUCAGCUUGUUGGUGGGGUAGUGGCUUACCAAGGCUUUGACGGGUAGCCGGCCUGAGAGGGUGACCGGCCACAUUGGGACUGAGAUACGGCCCAGACUCCUACGGGAGGCAGCAGUGGGGAAUAUUGCACAAUGGGCGGAAGCCUGAUGCAGCAACGCCGCGUGCGGGAUGACGGCCUUCGGGUUGUAAACCGCUUUCGCCUGUGACGAAGCGUGAGUGACGGUAAUGGGUAAAGAAGCACCGGCUAACUACGUG